rnacentral:rRNA from 1 species
UACGAGCGGCCCAACCGUUAUUCGGAAUUACUGGGCUUAAAGAGUUCGUAGGCGGCAUGAAAAGCAGGGUGUGAAAGCCCUCGGCUCAACCGAGGAAUUGCGCUCUGAACUGUCGUGCUUGAGGAACCUAGAGGUGAGCAGAACAGAUGGUGGAGCGGUGAAAUGCGUUGAUAUCAUCUGGAAUACCGGAGGCGAAGGCGGCUCACUGGGGGUUUCCUGACGCUGAGGAACGAAAGCCAGGGUAGCGAACGGG